rnacentral:rRNA from 1 species
UACGAAGGGGGCUAGCGUUGCUCGGAAUCACUGGGCGUAAAGGGUGCGUAGGCGGGUCUUUAAGUCAGGGGUGAAAUCCUGGAGCUCAACUCCAGAACUGCCUUUGAUACUGAGGGGCUCGAGUCCGGGAGAGGUGAGUGGAACUGCGAGUGUAGAGGUGAAAUUCGUAGAUAUUCGCAAGAACACCAGUGGCGAAGGCGGCUCACUGGCCCGGUACUGACGCUGAGGUGCGAAAGCGUGGGGAGCAAACAGG